rnacentral:rRNA from 1 species
CCUACGGGCGGCAGCAGUGGGGAAUAUUGCACAAUGGGGGAAACCCUGAUGCAGCGACGCCGCGUGAGUGAAGAAGUAUUUCGGUAUGUAAAGCUCUAUCAGCAGGGAAGAAAAUGACGGUACCUGAUUAAGAAGCCCCGGCUAACUACGUGCCAGCAGCCGCGGUAAUACGUAGGGGGCAAGCGUUAUCCGGAUUUACUGGGUGUAAAGGGAGCGUAGACGGCAGCACAAGUCUGGAGGGAAAUGCCGGGGCUUAACCCCGGAACUGCUUUGGAAACUGUGCAGCUUGAGUGCAGGUGAGGUAGGUGGAAUUCCUAGUGUAGCGGUGAAAUGCGUAGAUAUUAGGAGGAACACCAGUGGCGAAGGCGGCUUACUGGACUGUAACUGACGUUGAGGCUCGAAAGCGUGGGGAGCAAACAGGAUUAGAUACCCUUGUAGUC